GAUGAACGCUGGCGGCGUGCUUAACACAUGCAAGUCGAACGGAAAGACCCUGCUUUUGCUGCUUUCUCGAUUGGCGAACACGUGAGUGUCACGUGAGUAUCCUGCCCCUGUCUGUGUGAUAACUUCAGGGAACUGGGGCUAAUACCGCAUAUGACCUCCUGCUGCACAUUGUUGAAUGGAAAGUUUCGGCGGUUGGGGAUGGACUCGCUGCUUAUGAGCUUGUUUGUGGGGUAGUGGCUUACCAAGGCUUCGACGGGUAGCCCGCCUGAGAGGGUGACCGGGCACAUUGGGACUGAGAUAGGGACCAGAAUGCUACCGGACGCAGCAGUGGGGAAUAUUGCACAAUGGGGCGACGCCUGAUGCAGCAACGCCGCGUGCGGGAUGACGUCCUUCGAGUUGUGAACCAAUUUGGAAUGUGACGAAGAGGUAGUGACGGUACCGGGUAAAGAAGCCCCGGCUAACUACGUG
rnacentral:rRNA from 1 species